UUGAAGUGAAAGCACAAAAAAAGCCUCUCGGCCAAAGUUGCUUUUAGCCGAGCAAUGGAAGCUUGAUGGAGGGAAAUUAAUGCCUCAGAGUGUUGAAAUUAUUUAAGAAAUUAGCAAGGUUAAGGAGUCAAGUUGAUUAAGGAUAAGUGUUUUUGGGCAGCAAGUACAAGUUAUAAUACGACUAAACGCUAAAGGUACAGACGCUCGUUUCAGAGAUCCGCCAGCUUAUGAUACUUAUUCAGCUAUUUUUUACUGCUCCUUUGUUCCGGAGCCUAGCUUGUGGUAUAACUCCCUUAUGUUGAAUUCAUAUGUGUUUAUUUGGGUACGGCGGGGCCCUGUCUCGCCAUAUGAUACGGUCAUUACUCUUAGAGGUCUGUGGACAUCUGUGUGGGUCUGUAUAUAGUUGUUGUUGCGUUGUAUGAACAUGACUUAUGUUUGGGGCGUACCCAUUCGUGAUGGCAGCCUUGUCGGCGUGCAUUUUGUAUAUGUUUUGGGGCCGUUGUGCCAUUUGUUAGCCUUGUCGGCUUUUGAUACAUUUGUUAGCCUUGUCGGCUUUUGAUACAUUUGAUAGCCUUGUCGGCUUUUGUUAUAUAUAUGGAUAUGGUUGUGCUAAAAUGUGUCCGAUACAGUUUGAUGAAGUUUGAGACGGCAUAUAGUAUUUAUGGCCGUAUAUGC